CAUCCCCACACCUUUGCACUGGUUGUCCUCCAUCCCUGGAAGCACUCUUUCCUCACCUCCAACUUGGGAUUUCUCAUUUUAACCACAACCUUCCACACGAAGCCAUUUCUCAUCCCCUCAGCUGCUAAUAACCCCUCCAACAUCCCCCAUUACCCUGUUGUCUUCCCAUGCAGAAUGUAGGUUCACACAAGUCAGGGACUGCUUUGUUUCAGUCUCUGUGUCCCUGGUGCCUGGAACAGUGUCUGGCACAUAAAUGUUACUUAACAAAUACUGGUCGAUCAAGUGACUGGCCAUCUAGUGGCAACUCUUCAUUUUAAAAAGGAGGAGGGUCACAGUAUCCCUCCACAACCCAGGCGGAGCUGGGCACCGAGGGGACGCCUGCCUCCCUGCCUUUGGGGGUGCCUUGGCUUAGGGGCACAUCAGCUGCCUGGGCCUUGGGCCUUCAGGGACCUUGGCUCAAAUCUUCCUGGUGCUGAAUCAUAGGCCGAGCUCUGGGGCCACCAACAGACAACACAGCCCAGGCAGCCUGGCUAUUGACAGAGGCCUUGCUCACGGCCCUGGACCUCAACCAGCACAUCCCAAAUGUGCUGUGUCUCUAGGCCUCCCUGGCCCCAGCCUCAGCAUCCUCCAGGAAGGGCCCAGGUGUUGGUCUUGAAAGAGAGAGGCAUCAGCACAGCCCCGGUGUCCGCUGCCUGAGCCGCCUCGGGCAGGUUGCUUUCCCACUCUGUGGGCCUCAGUUUCUCCAUCUGUACGAUGGGCGAGUUAGACCAGAGGACGUCCAGGUCCCUUGCAGGUUGACAUUCUGUGCUUGUGGCCACCAUGAACUCUGGCGUCCAGGCCUCUGCUGCAAUCCGGUUCUUCUGCUACCAGCUUUUUGGACACCUGCCUGCUUGUGAGGUCCCCUCCCCCAGCCUCCGCAGGCGCUAGAAAUUAAUUUCCUUGCUCUUUGUAAUAGAGUCUUUGGUAGCAGCCAGCUAGUCACCAGCGCCCAGAGAAGCAUGCCUACUGGCUAUUGCCAUGGAAACUGGAACCGAGCUAACCACCUCACAGGGCCCAGCAUUGACUAUAGCUGCCACUGGGGCAAAAGUGGCUUCUGCUCCAAGUCUGGGCAGCGGUUCCCUUCCUUCAGAACGAUUGAAUUAAAAGAUGAUGACCCCCAGGCCAUUAAGCAGGAGUUUACAAAGAUUCAUCAGAAAGUGGAUGCCCUUCUGAGCAGCCUGGAGAAAGAGCCGGCCCAACAGCCAGAGAGGCAGGAGGCACCCAAGGGG
rnacentral:lncRNA from 1 species